rnacentral:lncRNA from 1 species
CUUAGAACAAAUAUGAAAACCUUUGCGCUAUAUGGAAGGGAGAAUUUGCUCAAGCCUUCCCUCAUUCCACCCCAGCCCUGGGCCCCACUCAGCUGGGUACACAUCACCUUGGACUAGCCAUGGAUCAACUGCUCAGGAGCCACAUUUGCUCAGCGGCUUCCUCAUGAAGAAUUCCUUUGCAGAAUUUGAGACAUGGCGAAAGGAUUAGUGUCAGUAUUGGGGGCGGAAGCAGAGAGACACACAGAAGGAGAAUUCUAAGUAGAAGCCUUGAGUCAACAUUGGCCAUGGGUGAGUAGGAGGCAUGAAUUCACAGAAAUUAUGAGUCAGCAGAAACGGAUAGAGCAUGGAGUGGGGGUAGCAGAGGAAGAAGCCAAGACCCAGAGACGCUGAGUCACCGCGAUGGCGGUACCCAGGGUACCGAGCGAGGAGGCCCCCUGAGUGGGGCGCCUGAGAGUGCUCCCACUGAGUUACAGAGCUGCUGUGGGGCGGCUGGAGUUACUGCUGUAACCCGAAACUCUUCCAGCCUCUGGGAGCCCUGGUUGGGUGGCUAAAACUUUGGUCUUCCUAAUCUCCUAAUGAACUCGAGGUUGUUUCCCUUCCUUGCAACCUGCAAGAACCUGACCUGUACACCAGCCAUGUCCAAACUCCUCUGAGACUCAGUUGCCUCCCCUGGGAAAUGGGGACAGCUGUUGCUUUGGGUUGUUCAGCAUGUCUUGCUGGGGUGAUGACUUUUGUCUGACACUUUGCAGUUCUGGGCCUGCCAGUCAUGGGAGCACCCCCCGACAAGGUGGCCGUGUAAUCCAGGCUGGCCCUGUCAGACUCUCCAGGGCAGAGAUUUGCUUCGGAAGCAGAGACACCUCUGGAGCAGGGUUGGAACCCCCGAGAUUGUUCCUGGGUUCCUCUGGCUGGGAUCUUCUGAGCCAUCCUGGUUCCUGUUUUCCAAGGCCUGUUUAUUCGGGAGUUUCCCAAUUGCCUUGACAGAUCCCCUAUUCCUGUUUGAGCAAUAACAUAGACUGGACCCACACUGUGCAAGGUUGCUCUGAAGUGAAAUAAGUGACUCCUAGACAGGCCCUCCUGUCUGUUGUUCCCUCCCUGUGCUCUCGCUCCACCUGACACGUCUCCAAUGCUUACCUAACAUCUCUGGGCUCAGUGUCCCCGAAGUAGCCCAGUGUUUUCCCCCUUUGAGAGAAGACGCUAAGCCUAAACCAGCCCCCAGUGUGCCGUGGGCUUUGCCUAGUCCUUGCCAGGUGCCUCUUCCUCACACUUCAGCUUCUCUUCUGCAUAAUGUGAGAAUAGGGGGUGACUCUGGGAUCCACGUCAAAUGAGGGCUCCUCUCUGCAGUACCACAGCACUCCCUGUAGGCGGCAGCAUAUGACCACAAAUGUCCUGGAGUGUCGGUCCAGAGCUCAAGACGAGACUGAAGAGAGGUCUUGGCCAGACGCUGCGGAAGAGCGUUUGUUAGCUUGAGGAGCGGAGGGUGCGGGAGGGAGCGGGAAGGAAGGUGGGCGUGUCGCUGGCCUUGAGGCAAAAAGAGACUGGGU